GUUUUUUUUUUUAUAAUAAAAAACNUCNUUANGNGGNGUCACAGAAUCGGAGGCCACGACUGUUUAAUUAAAACACAGACAUCUGCUACGAUUAAUUUAUUUGUAUAGGUGUUGAAUUUUGCCCCAUGCCAUCAACAUAAGGUCUGCGAGUUUAAAUAUGCGGAUUGAAAGUCUGGUUAAUGGCGGUCUUAACUAUAAGGAUCCAUUACUAAUAUAACUACCAUAUUAGGGUCCUUUUUAAAUUUAACUAUAUGCUGGAACAUCUUUUUAAUAGAUUGUUUUACAUUGUUUUUAUAUUUAAAUUGCGAUAGUCGUGCUUUUAUAAGCAUGGCAAAUACUAUUUAGAAUGAAUAAAANGAAUUCAUAGNAAAUAUAACAUGAACAUGAAUACACUAAUUAAAAAAGAUAAUCAGCAGGGAAUUACUAGAGAUAUUAACCAAAAAGGAUAUUUAUUUUGGUUAGGUGGAUUCUUCGAGGGAGAAGGUUCUGCUUCUGUAUCAAUUAGA
rnacentral:rRNA from 1 species